UACGUAGGUAGCAAGCGUUGUCCGGAUUUACUGGGCGUAAAGAGCGCGCAGGCGGUCGUUCAAGUCGCGUGUGAAAGCCCCCGGCUCAACUGGGGAGGGUCACGCGAUACUGAUCGACUGGAAGGCAGGAGAGGGUAGUGGAAUUCCACGUGUAGCGGUGAAAUGCGUAGAGAUGUGGAGGAACACCAGUGGCGAAGGCGACUCUUUGGCCUGUAACUGACACUGAGGCGCGAAAGCGUGGGGAGCAAACAGG
rnacentral:rRNA from 1 species